UGCUGCCAGUGUCGACUGAGCCGUCCUCCCACGCACGGACUACCGAGCCAAUUAGGCUGAGGUGGAGGAGAGCCAAGAAGAGGGAGUGGCUUUUAUAACCAAACCUGAGCCGCCUCGAGCCAACUUGAGGGGAUAUAAACACCACCAUGGCAGUCCUUUCUGGUAUAUUUCAUCUUUAAGUAUAACAAGAGGAGGAAAUAAAUGACCAAAUAGGUCCUGAUAACCUCUGCAGCAAUCAAAAACAAAAGGCUCUGGAAAGAUGUCAGUAGGUGGAGCUUCACUUUGAAAGACAGUUCGGAACAAAUGGAAAGAAAAAGUGUAUUCCCUAGUUAUGAACAGCUAAACUGUCAGCGACCUUGACACUGACCAGGGAGGAGUUUUCUGUUUUAAUUUUUCCACUGUGUUGAGGUAAGACCAUGUGAACCAUGAAAGAGGUGUUUCAUUCCUUCAACACAUUUUUUAUUCGUCUCCUACUAUGUCCCCGAUAUUAUGUGCAAAGCCCUGCCUAAUACAAUUGCUUUCUUUCUCCAUCUGUCAAUAGCUUUCCAUGUAAUUUUCAAGUUCCUCAAAACUUUGCAAAGUCCUAUGCUUGGUCAUGUACAACUGAACCAAGGUCACAAAAGGACAGCUUAGUUGGAAGGGGGGAAAAAUGAAUGAAAACAAGUAUGCUAAGGAGAUACAUAAAUGUCCUCUAGCACAUUCCUUGUUCUGAGGGCUAAUGUACUGUAGCAAUUCAUCAGUCAUUCUAAUAGUCUUUUAACUUCUGUCAGAAAGUCUACUAAAUGAUAACAUCUUAAAUGUUUAAUAUUCUAAAACAUAUUUUCAUUAAUCAUGCAAAUUAUCUGGGCAUCCAUAUUUUACAAUAACCUCUUUUGAGAUUAAGAGGCCUAAGGCUUUAUGAAUGAGAGACCCAUGUUAGUGAGUGAUAUUUUAGAUGAACUAUAACUUAGAAUUAAAGAAUUUUAGAAAUGAAAAGUUGCUAGUAAAACUCCAGUAUCGAUAUGCUGUCACAUUUAUAAAAAACCCAAAAAUCUUAUUAACAUCAGAUAAUUCUGAUAAGUAGCAAGCAGCCAAAAUAUGCACUUGCUUCAUUCUAUUUUAUUACAUAAUUGGUGGAUGGAUAUUAAUGUUGGUAGAUGGUGUACCGUCACAAUAGAAAUGACACUAAGUUUCAUAGCAAAGUGGACUUGGGCUUGGUUGUUAGUAAAGGGUAGAAUAUGUGUUCCUUGCAGUUAGGUUGGCCUGAACUGCACCAUGCACCAUGAAAACCUUCUUUUAUAUGCUACUAGUCCCCCUAAUCGCAGGGAUUCUUGGCUGCUUGGAAAAAUGAGAAAUAUGGGUGUGGGCCCCAUGAAACGGAGGAAUUGAAAAUGAUAAAGGGCAAGAGUUUUGGUAGUAUGAGUGGAAAUGCUCUACCCUGAAGCUAUUUGAUUGUUGGUAAAGAUGGAGACUGGUAGUGAAAUAGAAAUGACCUGAGACCAUGUAAAUGUAGUUAUGCUGGAGUCACAAAGCAGUGCUCAUUGGACUCAAGAACAUGACCUAAGUCACCGAAGUCAUGAGUGAUGGUGGUUCAGCGCACUUGUCCGGCUCCCAACAGGAAACAGAUGGCACAAUCAAAUUAGGAUAAUUCAAGGAAGGCUUAUUUAUAAAGAGACUAAUUACAAAGGCAUGGGCAGGGUGCAGGGUAGGGGAACCAUUAAGGGCUGUGUGGGCAGUGAGAGCUAACAGCCACAGAGCUGUUAUUAAAUCUAGGCCUUAAAAGGUAAGAGAAAGGAGCAGUCACUAGAAUCUGAAGGAAAUAGAGUCACAUACAAACAGUCACCUUUAAGGGACCAGUGACCUUUGAUUAAGGGAGACAGCCAGCACAAGGAGAUCUCAUGGAGAGAACAAACACCCUGACCUCACUCCCCUCUCUCCCUCCAGCCUCCUGAGUGAACUUCUCCUUCAUUGAGCCCGACAGGAACCUAAGGAUAGAGAUCGAGUAUGUAGUCCAUACAGGUCAGCCUCCCGGAGUGGAUACCAGAGCUUCCCAUGUGGAGAGUGGAUCUGGAGGGAGACACUAGGAGUCAGAAACAUCUAAUUUUGCCCAUCCAGAUUCCCAGCUGAGGGAGCCAGUGACCUAAUUCUGCUCAGUUCUAAGGCAACACAGGAGCAAAUUCAGAAUAUCGCUGCGCUGGUCUUGCCAGGACUGCAGAACCCCGAAGCUGUUAUCCUACUCCCGAGGUAAUCCCGUGACGGGUUCGAACACCGCUCGCCAGCCCUUCUAUCAGCUUCCUGGAGAAGCAUCUUUACCUCCUGUCAAGCAGUGACCUAAAAAGCUUAAUGCGGUUUACAUUUUCAAGGUCAAAGUGGAUACAAUGCUAUCUAUUUUGGCCUAAGAGAAAAGGGAAAUUGCUUGCUCUACGUCUUAGAUUUCUGUUUUUGUCCUUGUCCCAUCCCGUAGUCCCCAGUGUCCCAUCUUCUUGGUCCCUCUAGAUGUACUGAAGGUUUACAUGGGGCUUGUGGGCUUGUCUACAUUAUCACAGAGUUUUAACUCUUGUCCUCAAAAUGGGUGCCCUCUCUGCUCAAUUUUUAUAUCGAAUGAUUAGCAAAGCAAAAUUUUCCAGUUCCCAACCGAGGAGGCGAUGAAGCUCUAAACUAGGAAUUUAUUGACGUUCCCCAAACUGACAUUAUUCAGUGAUCAAAAUAAAAUGCAUACGUAAAAUCCUGGCCAAUUUACAUACCCCAUUCUUACACACACAUACAAAAAGCUAACUAUUUUUAACUUAUGACUGUGACAUGCAUUUGUUUUUAAUAAUGUCUUGGUUUUAUAUAACCAUAUAUUCAAGGUCUUUAUCAUUCAAGGUACAUGAAGGUUGUGCAUUUAAUCUUUAGCAUGGUUGUAGAAGAUAUGAUUCACAGAGUAGAGAAUAGAUAAAAAUAAGCAUGCAGCAGCAUGGGGCCGAAUCAUCAGAACUCACCAUCUUAUCAACAAAUAGAAGUCAUUCUUCUUUAUUUCUUGAGCAAAGCAGUUUCAUAUAAGAUAAAUAGCUUUCAGUCAGAAUAGCCUAACAUGCAGUAUGCAUCUUUUUUGACAUGUAUAUUCUAAUAUUACUUUAGACCUUAAGAUUAAAAUAAGAAAAAUCUCAGGGUUGUGUUUUGACAAUAAACACUGGCUGAAUCUGCAUUUUUUCCAUUUUUCAUCUCCCGGAAUUUGGCUCAGUGUGUGUAUGUUUGUGCAUUACUGGCUAUUAUUAAAUGAUCAACUUCUGGUGACCUUCAAGUACCAUUUUCUUAAGUUUUAUAAGAGGAAUAAUUUGGGGGAUUUGUACUUUUUUGUAUCGAACAUUGAAAGUCACAUCAUGCUUUGGAGAUUCUAUGUCUUUUUCUCCCGAGAUCAGGUAUAGUAGAAUGUGUUUCUAAUAGAUUUAGGAGACUGGGUUCUAGAAAUGCGACCUUGAGAAAGCCACUUAGCUACUCUAGUUUUAGUUUCCCCAUCUUGCAAAGGAAGAAUCUGGCUCAGGUGGUUUUUAAAAUUAUACCUAGCUCUAAUAUGAUAUCAUCCGUAAAUCAUCAUUCUUUUGUUAACAUAGAAAGCAUAUGGGUGAUGAGUGAGCUGGAAAAAAGAAAUUGAGUGAACACCUUAAGUGGCCCAAGCCUUUGGCACUGGACAGAGAGGUCUUCCCUUUGUGGGUCCCUGCUGAGCACUUUUUCGUGGCCGAAAGCCUACACACCCAGGCUCUCCAGCCCCUUCUAUUCACAAAUCCUGUCGCAAUGCGGCCAUAGCAGCCCUCCACCUUGCAGGGAGUCACAUUGUUGCAAAGUUUCCGUUCUCACUUAAGUAUUAACUUCCACUUUCCGAGACGAAAAACUGAACUGCAGCUCUUGAGAAAAUUGGCAAAGUAGUAGAAAACUUCAAUUUUCAAAUAUUCAUUGUUAUUUUCAUAUUUACGAAUUUGCAUAUGUGGAAGGAAGAACUUGCAUGUGUGGAAGAAAGAAAAACUACAGCUCUGCCGUUAUCUAGCUGUUUGGCCUCUGAAAUUUAUCUCUGAAAUAUUUUCUCAUCUGUAAAGUGGGCAAAAUAUCUACAUGGAUGGUCUUGUAGAAGAAAAACAAUUAUUACAUGCAUUCAAAAAUACCAGCUCUUCUCCUUGCCUCUCCUUCAGUAUCAAAUUGUGUUGGAGAGUAUUGACAAGGAUACUGAGCAUUAUCAAUUACAAGAAAGCAAGAGAAUCUAUUUCUUAGCUUAACAUUGCUUAGCGAGGAGCCAUGUUUUGAAAUGACAGGAUGAAAACGAAGCCGGCUCAUUUACCUGGAAGAUAUUGCUACAUCAAUUUACACUGAUAAGUUUUGUUGCGGCUUGUACUGUUGAGUAAAUUGGCUCCUUUUUUCAGCUUCACUUUUGUCUGCCUCUGUGGCCCCAUCCCCUUCUUUCACAUCUCCUAGCCUCCACAACUUCAAAGAAUGCAUAUAAACACCUAGGCCUGAGGAUGAAAUCAAUUCUGCAGGAGUCAAAUUAGUAGUACAUGUGAGGGCUCUUUGAAAAGGAUGAAAAUCUAUGCAAACUCAAGACAGCAAGUAAGAAUAAAGUGAGGUACACUUUCUAAAAAAGUCAGUUAAUUCCUACUAGAUAAAGACCAGUGUGUAAUAAAUACAUGUUGUGGAACUAUGCCCAUUUUGUGGGGCAUAUGAGAGAGGAUAUAGGAAAGCCCAUGAAGGAACAGACAGAAGACUUAGGUCCUAUACACGGCUUUCCUCCUUACUAUCCAUCUGGGCUAUUAUUCAUAAAACGUGUAGAAAGUAUAGCAUAACAUCACAAACACUGGUCCCAGAUCUCCAAUUUACUAGGUACAUGAACUUGGACAAGUUACUUAUCUUCUCAAUUUCUCAUUAAAAAAUGGGACAUGGCUGGCCCAGUGGUGCAGCAGAUAAAUUCGCA